AUUGAACGCUGGCGGCAGGCCUAACACAUGCAAGUCGAACGAGUGGCGGACGGGUGAGUAAUGUCUGGGAAACUGCCCGAUGGAGGGGGAUAACUACUGGAAACGGUAGCUAAUACCGCAUACCAUCGGAUGUGCCCAGAUGGGAUUAGCUGGUAGGUGGGGUAACGGGUCACCUAGGCGACGAUCCCUAGCUGGUCUGAGAGGAUGACCAGCUGCAAUGGAACUGAGACACGGACAAGACGCCUACGGGAGGAAGCAGUGGGGAAUAUGGCACAAUGGGAGCAAGCCUGAUGCAGCCAUGCCGCGUGUAUGAAGAAGGCCUUCGGGUUGUAAAGUACUUUAAGCGAUGAGGCGUUACUCGCAGAAGAAGCACCGGCUAACUCCGUGCCAGCAGCCGCGGUAAUUC
rnacentral:rRNA from 1 species